CAAUAGCGUAUAUUAAAGCUGUUGCGGUUAAAAAGCUCGUAGUUGGAUUUCUGUCAAGGACAACUGGUCCGCCCUCCGGGUGAGCACAUAGUUUGGUCUUGGCAUCUUGCUGGAAACUGUUGCUGCGCUUGGUUGUGUGGUGCAGCUUUCAGCACUUUCACUUUGAGGAAAUUGGAGUGUUUCAAGCAGGCACAUGCCUUUGGACACAGUAGCAUGGAAUAAUUAGAUUGGGCUUUUGCUCCAACUUGUUGGUUCCUGGAGCUGAGGUGAGAAUCAAUGGGGAUUGUUGGGGGCAUCCGAAUUUAGCCGUCAGAGGUGAAAUUCUUGGAUCUGCUAAAGACGGACAACUGCGAAAGCAUUUGCCCAGGAUGUUUUCAUUGA
rnacentral:rRNA from 1 species